rnacentral:tRNA from 1 species
UAUUUAAAUAGUUUAAUUAAAAUAUUAAUUUGUGGGAUUAAAGAUUAUGUAUAUAUUUAAAUAA